CAGCACUCGAUACUAACCGAGCUAUCUACAUCCUAGCCUUGUGUCAGAGGCUUGCGAUGUGUUGUGAUAGCUGGGUUUAAGAAGUGCAAUAUUAAAACAGCCAUGAGUCUUUUAAGCCCAGUGUGUAAAGAAACACUCUGAGUUAUAACUCAAAGGCACAACU
rnacentral:snoRNA from 1 species